AUUGAACGCUGGCGGCAUGCUUUACACAUGCAAGUCGAACGGUAACAGGCCGCAAGGUGCUGACGAGUGGCGAACGGGUGAGUAAUGCAUCGGAACGUGCCCAGUCGUGGGGGAUAACGCAGCGAAAGCUGCGCUAAUACCGCAUACGAUCUAUGGAUGAAAGCGGGGGACCGUAAGGCCUCGCGCGAUUGGAGCGGCCGAUGUCAGAUUAGGUAGUUGGUGGGGUAAAGGCUCACCAAGCCAACGAUCUGUAGCUGGUCUGAGAGGACGACCAGCCACACUGGGACUGAGACACGGCCCAGACUCCUACGGGAGGCAGCAGUGGGGAAUUUUGGACAAUGGGCGCAAGCCUGAUCCAGCAAUGCCGCGUGCAGGAAGAAGGCCUUCGGGUUGUAAACUGCUUUUGUACGGAACGAAACGGCUCUCACUAAUACUGGGGGCUAAUGACGGUACCGUAAGAAUAAGCACCGGCUAACUACGUGCCAGCAGCCGCAGUAAUAC
rnacentral:rRNA from 1 species